rnacentral:tRNA from 1 species
GGUGCUGUGGCUUAGCUGGUCAAAGCGCCUGUUUUGUAAACAGGAGAUCCUGGGCUCAAAUCCCAGCAGCACCU